rnacentral:lncRNA from 1 species
UUUAUAAAACACCUUGGAGUUUUCUUGGAUCGCAAGUUUGUUUGUUGAACAGAGCACGUGGAAUUGGAUGUUGUUGUUGUUGUAAGUUAUAUGGACUAUUAUGAGCAAUCCUUUUAUUAGAGCUGUAAACUGGGCGAGCUCAUGUCCAUUAGUCCAUAUCCAUUUGUCCAUUCAUUGUUUGUGGACAGCAAAGUGACCAUGUCCAUUAAGAACCAUAUCCAUUAAAGACCAUACCCACUAACACCCAUAUUUUUAUGGGCUGCCAUGGGGUCCAUAAUGACCAUAUAAGAAAAUUUUAAAUUUUAAUUUAUAAGCAUACAAUUAUAUAUAAAAGUUCAUAAAAUUAAAAUUCAUCCAUAAAUUCAAAAGCACAACAAUACAUAAGUUCAUAAAUACAACAAUUACGGUUUUGGUGGGAAAAAUUGAUUUUGCAGUUUUGGCGGAAAAACUCGAUUUUGCAGUUUUGACGGAAAAACUCGAUUUUGCAGUUUUGACGGAAAAACUCGAUUUUGCAGUUUUGACGGAAAAACUCGAUUUUGCAGUUUUGACGGAAAAACUCGAUUUUUCAGUUUUGGCGGAAAAAACUCAUUUUUGCGGUUUUGGCGGAAAACUCGAUUUUCUGAUUUUGGCAGAGAAACUCGAUUUUUCGGUUUUGCCAUGGGGUCUAUAAUGACCAUAUAAGAAAAUUUUAAUUUAUAAGCAUACAAUUACAUAUACAAGUUCAUAAAAUUAAAAUUCAUCCAUAAAUUCAUAAGUACAAUAAUACAUAAGUUCAUAAGUACAACAAUUUCGGUUUUGGCGAGAAAAAUCGAUUUUGCGGUUUUGGCAGAAAAACUCGAUUUUCCGGUUUUGGCGGGAAAAUUCGAUUUUGCGUUUUGAAGAAAAACUCGAUUUUCUGGUUCUGACGGGAAAAUUUGAUAUUAAAAUUUAAGCGAAAAAAUCGAUUUUACGAGUUUAGCGGAAAAACUUAAAUUUUAUAAACUUUAGGUUUUGUGACCAUUGGACAGUCCACGUCCAUAAAGCCCAAAACCAAUAAAGACCAUUUUCUUAAUGGUCUUCCACAUUUUGUCCAAUGAAAACUAAUGGGAAAAAUGGGUUUGUCCAUAUUAAGCCCGUUUGUAUAUGGACAUGGGCAACCAUUGGACGGCCCGCCCAUUUGACACCUCUACCUUUUAUAACCAUAUUUAGUUAUUUCUUUCACUUUUACUAAAUAUGUAACAACCGUGCAAAGUCAAUAGCUCUCUCUCUUACCUCUCUCGUAUCUUUCAGAGAGAGAGAGUUUUCUUUUCCGUUUGUUUUCACCAGAGCUAUCUCCGGCGUCUUAGUUGCCCGGCGUUUUGGGCACCGACUCUGGCAUACGGUGGCUCUUUAAGCACGGUGUGGUCGGCUCUUGACUCCGACGGCUCUCCUGUCUUCUCGGUGUUGCCGUCCGGUUUUUGACUCCGGCGUCGUGCACCUUCCCUUUCGGUGACGGCGGCUGGCUUUUCUCCGGGAGUUUCCGGGAUUUGUUUUUCUUUCUUCCUGAUCUACGUCCGAGCUUCUUUCUUUCAUUUCAACUUCGGUUUUGGGAUCCGAUUGUUUCUUCCUCUCCCUUGUUUAGGGUUUUCUAAUCUUCAAGCUUAUUCUCAUCAUAAAAGAUGAUUGUUUUAACUGAGCAGGUUAAUCGGUUCCUUUGAGAUCGUUCGCUUGUAAAUGAAUCUCAUCUUCAAUGCGUAGAUCCCUUGUCGGCUUGAGUUUUCUCCGUUACGGUGGCUCACUGUUGAGUCUUUGUCCUAUUAUCGUGUGAUUGAGUAACCUCUCCUGGCGAUAGGAUCUCCGGUGAAGAAUCCUCGUCGGCUUGAGGUAGGCUGAGUUUAGUCGCCUCUGUGCUGAUCUUUCUAUCGUUGUUGCUGGUUUUCAUCUCCUUGGCCUGUUCCGGUUAGUUUCCGGUGGUUUGUCGAUUUGAGAUUCCGGCGAUAACUUUCCUGUCGUUGAAGCAACGUGAUGUUUCUGCUUCUGGACACGUGGACCUUACGUGCAUAUGAGCCCAACACGUGUGGGAACUGCCGUGAAACGAUCACCAUCUUCCAUGGACUUCUUUUGCUGCUGGGCUUUUAGGGUUCCUUGUAAAUGUGUACUCUGUCCUGUUGGGCCUUUACGUAAUACUUUGUCUGCCCUGUUGGACCUUUAGUUUGUAAUAGUUUCAAUAGUUAAUAAUACUAGUGAUAAAAAAAAAAUAUGUAACAACCUCUUCGUUUGGGUAAUUUAUUGCAUGUUUAAAUAAAUGUAAUUAUAAAAUACCCAUCAGAAGAACAUCCACUAUCUACCCG